UACGAAGGGGGCUAGCGUUGUUCGGAAUUACUGGGCGUAAAGCGCGCGUAGGCGGGUGACUAAGUCAGGGGUGAAAUGCCGAGGCUCAACCUCGGAACUGCCUUUGAUACUGGUCGCCUGGAGUUCGGGAGAGGUAAGUGGAAUUCCGAGUGUAGAGGUGAAAUUCGUAGAUAUUCGGAGGAACACCAGAAGCGAAGGCGGCUUACUGGCCCGAUACUGACGCUGAGGCGCGAAAGCGUGGGGAGCAAAC
rnacentral:rRNA from 1 species